AACCUACGGGACGCAGCAGUGGGGAAUAUUGGGCAAUGGGCGCAAGCCUGACCCAGCAACGCCGCGUGAAGGAAGAAGGCUUUCGGGUUGUAAACUUCUUUUCUCAGGGACGAAUAGAUGACGGUACCUGAGGAAUAAGCCACGGCUAGCUACGUGCCAGCAGCCGCGGUAAUACGUAGGUGGCAAGCGUUAUCCGGAAUGAUUGGGCGUAAAGGGUGCGUAGGCGGCCUGCUAAGUCUGGAGUGAAAGGUACCGGCUCAACCGGUACAGGCUCUGGAAACUGGCGGGCUAGAGAGCAGGAGAGG
rnacentral:rRNA from 1 species